rnacentral:rRNA from 1 species
GACGAACGCUGGCGGCGGGCUUAACACAUGCAAGUCGAACGAACCACGAUCCUACUUCGGUGAGAUUAUUUGGUUAGUGGCGAACGGGUGAGUAACACGUAGGUAACCUGCCCUCGAGUGGGGAAUAACCAUUGGAAACGAUGGCUAAUACCGCAUAAAGUCUCGGUAGCUCCUGCUACCGGGAUGAAAACUUCGGUGCUCGGGGAUGGGCCUGCGGUGGAUUAGGCAGUUGGUGAGGUAACGGCUCACCAAACCCACGAUCCAUAGCUGGUCUGAGAGGAUGAUCAGCCACACUGGCACUGAGACACGGGCCAGACUCCUACGGGAGGCAGCAGUGAGGAAUAUUGGGCAAUGGGCGAAAGCCUGACCCAGCCACGCCGCGUGCAGGAUGACACCCCUAUGGGGCGUAAACUGCUUUUUUAUGGGAAGAACCCUCUCGAUUCGUCGAGAGCUGACGGUACCGUACGAAUAAGGACCGGCUAACUCCG